rnacentral:pre_miRNA from 1 species
UAGGGUGACCAACUGUCCUGGUUUGCCCAGGAUUGAAGAGAAGGGAGGAGUGUGCCAAAACCAGCAAAGUCCUGGGCAAACCCAGACAAGUUGGUCACCCUAGAGAACU